AAGUUUUCUGGGAAGUGUUUCUUCUGAGUCAACACACAGAAGCUGUGUUCCCGAAGUGGCCAAGGCUGUACUUCCUGUUAGCAACCAAAGGUGGUAGUGUAAGAGUCGCCCUGGUAGUAAUGGUUUUGACGUCAUAAAGGGGUCCUGAAGAGCAGCUGAGGCUUGGCCUUGUGUGGCAGGGCUGGAGUCCCUGAAGAGAGCCCAGGGGAAACUAUUGGUGAGAGUACAACCCAGUUAAAGCAAGACACAGCAGAAUUUUGAUGAUGUCAAUAUCAUGGUAUGACCACCAACCACAGAAAUGGCGGAGUGGAGCUAACCAGAGCAUAGAAGACAAGCUGUAUGUGCUGAAGAGGUCUUGUCUCGCCAUGUGUCUUGCCUCAGCACACGCAUCUGUCUCAACUGACCUCACUCUGCCGAUCAGCCGGAAUCCACAGAAGUGGCAAGAAACUGCAGCACACCACCACAAGAUUUUUGGUGCAUUUCUCUCUAUGGAGUCCCAACAAGUGCAGCUCAAAUAUACAAUGAUCAACAAUGAUGGCAGCUGUACCAAGCCCCAGCCCUCUCGGCUCCCACCCAAAGCACUUGCCAAGGAGACUGACUUUCCCUCCGGUCAGAAUCUUGUUCAGCAUGGCUGAUCAUCAUGCAUCUGGCAUUGCUGCCUCAGAAGACUGUUCAUCAUUCGAGAACUAAUGCUGGCCCUCUUGAUAAAGCAUCCUACAAGUGGGGUAUGUAGAAUGGAAACUCAGAAUCCAUCCCCACUCCAUUGGCUCAAUCCCUCCUCAUGACCUUGGCUUCAAAUCAGGACUGGGGGGGUCCUUGUGCUGUGUCUCUUGGGCUUUACACUAGUCUUUCCCUGUGCACUGUGGAACUCAGGCUAUGCCACCUCAUUCUCCUCUGUGAGGGAAGCUAGCCAGCUCCAACAGCAUAAGGUAGUUGUGGGCACACAAAAUCACCUGUCUUUCUGGAAUGCAAAUAAAAACAGAGAAGUGAUGCGCUGCACCCUCCCUCCACUCCACCCCUUAGAUGGUGGAGAACCAACAACUCAAGUGUUGGUUGGUGGAUAAAGGUGAUCUUAAGAGAGUUGCCAAGCUGGCUGGGAAAACGGUCUGCCAAGUCCCUUAUUGGCUGAGAUGAGAGCUACGCAAUGACACAGUAGUAACCCCAGGCAUAGAUGCAAUAGAAGUGGAAGCACACACACACGAACACAUUUGCCCCUGAAAGCAUAUAGCAGCAUUGUUCACAACAACCCAAAGGGUGAACAAGCCAAUAGCCACCAACUGGUCAACAGAUGAAUAAUUCCAGUUGUGUAUCAACUGGAAUUCCAACAAGACACCAAGACAGAGGCAUGGAUGCAAGCUCUAACCCAGGAGAUCCUUCAUCAUGCCACAUGAAAGAAGCCUGUUAGAGAGACAGUAGGUCACAUUGUCCUAUUCCUACACACUCAGAAUAGGGAAAUCCAGCUGGCCAGUGACUGCUUAGGGUAUCUGUAGGAUGGGGUAAGUAGCUAGAGAUAAGGGUUCUUUAUUUAUAUUAAUCAUUGUAUUAUUAUUAAUUAUUAUUAUUAUGUGUGUGCGCACUGUACUUAUGUGUAUGUGCGGUGCACACAUGCCACUGUGUAUGUGUGGAGAUUGGAGAAUCCUAGGCAGCCAGUUCUGCUUCCAUCAUGGAAUCUAGGGAUUUGCAUUUAUCUUCUGAGUCAUUUUAUCAACCCUGAGGAUGCUUUCUGUAGUGACAAACAAGUAACACUGACUGUGUUAAUGUUGCUAAAACCAAACAAACAAAACCCAACACCACCACCACCACGAACAACAACAACAAAACCCACUGGCUAUAUGG